AAACCUUCAACAACGAAUCUCUUGGUUCUGGCCCCGAUGAAGAACGCAGCGAAACGCGAAAUGUAAUGUGAAUUGCAGAGCUCAGUGAAUCAUUGAAUAUUUGAACGCAUAUUGCGCCUGCUAUAAUAUAGAAGGCAUGCCUGUUCGAGCGUCAUUA
rnacentral:rRNA from 1 species